UACGGAGGGGCUAGCGUUGUUCGGAAUUACUGGGCGUAAAGCGCGCGUAGGCGGCUUUGUAAGUUAGAGGUGAAAGCCCGGAGCUCAACCGUCGAACUGCCUUUAAGACUGCAUCGCUAGAAUCAUGGAGAGGUGAGUGGAAUUCCGAGUGUAGAGGUGAAAUUCGUAGAUAUUCGGAAGAACACCAGUGGCGAAGGCGACUCACUGGACAUGUAUUGACGCUGAGGUGCGAAAGCGUGGGAGCAAAC
rnacentral:rRNA from 1 species